CCCAAUUCCCCUUGAAAGGAGGACAUGAGCAACCUGAGAUGCACGAAAAUCCUCCAGACCCUCAUUGGCACUUUUCAACAAACACCUAGGAUGCCAAACUUCUCCCCCAAAUACCACUUGAUUCCUGCGAGCCCAUAAUUUGUGAGACACCACUCCAAACCAUUCAAGCUCCGAUUGAUCCAAGAGACCCGAGAGGUACUCAAAAAUACUAAAAAAAGAGCCAGUCAGACUUGAGCAUUUCUGGAGCCGACGACAACCCUCUGCCCAAACUACUCUAGCCGAAUCACACCACCAAACUAAGUGUCCUGGUGUCUCGGCUUCUGUCCCACACAUUGGGCAAAAAGGGUCUUGGACAAUCUUCCUCCUUAAUAAUUUAUCGCGUGUUGGCAGCAAGUCUCUACAAGCACACCAGAGAAAAGAUUGCACAUAUUUGGGAACCUGCAAAGACCAGAUAGCCGACCAAAUGGGAGAAGGAAUACCAGAAACAGAAGUGCUAGGGACUGAGCUAGACCGCCUUCUAACAUCCAAAUGAUAUGCACUCUUAACAGAGAAAUCACCAACCGAUUCUGCAGCAAGUGAAGACAAAUCGCCAUUGAGCAGAUGUUUUCCACAGUUGCUGGUGAAAAAAUCUGCUUGAAGAGGGGGAUAUUCCACCAAUUUUCCUCCCCUCUGAUAGAGUUCUCUAGACUGCCUAAGGCUCCUCCAAGCAAAAGAAGGCCUACUCCCCUCUGUGCCCGAUAGAAGGAAGAAGUUGGGCUUGGUACUAAAAAGGAUAUAUAAUGGAUCAUCAUCGCCAUUGUCAUCAACAUUCAAGCUUUUGCGAGCGUUGAGAACUGAGCAAUUGAGUCUCUCUCGUGUCAUCACCAAAAAUUAUUGAGAACUUGAGAAUUGGGGAUGCUCUGAAUUAACAAGAUCACCAAAGCCAAUUUUUGUUCCGAAGUCAUCUGACAGUUGUUCGAAGUGUAGCUCAGCUCAAAGUAAUUGUAAGAGAAGACCAACAAGAAAUUUUCUCCUCACGUUCUUUUGAAAGAGAUCUACGCUUGCAUAAGUUGGUCUUUGAGGAAGAUGUCCUGCCAGAUGGGACCAAAGUAGCAUAUUACUCUCGUGGACAGAAAUUGUUGUGGGCAGAAAUUGUUGGUCGGUUCCAAAAAGGGAUGUAAAAUCUUUGCUGCAACUCAAAAAGGUCAGCCCCCUCACAUUUUGAAGCUCCUGUUGCAAGCCGUGAGUGUUUCAAAUCAUUCGGGUGGUUUUGUGAUUGAUGUCCAAAAUCAAUUGUUUACUCGUUUGUCAAAUAGCAUGAUUCAGUUGGCAAGACCUCUGUCAAGAUGGCAAGAUGGAGGGGAUCAUUUUGCUGUGUUGGAUGUCCAUGGGCUUUUCACAUAGAAGAAAUAUAUUUUGGACUUUCCAAAUGAGGGGCUUCAACACCUCAUUGCUCUUGAAGAAUUGUUUAUUGGUUUUUGCCCUAAGCUCAAGUACAUGCUAGAACAGGGGUUACCUGCCUUCCUUUCUAUUCUAGGAAUUGAAGUUUGUCCUUUGUUGAAGAGAGAGUGGCAAAGUAAAAAAGGAAAAGAAUGGCGCAAGUUGCUCACAUCGAACAGAUAUGGAUUGAUCUCGAAGUGUUUGAAUAAGCUACAAGUCUAGCAAGAUUUCUC